GCUCCAAGAAGCAAAGUUGGCAAGGCCUCUGCUCGGAGAACAAAGUGACAACAUAAGAAAAGGCAAGGCCCAGAUCACGAUUUUCACAGCCCUAAAGAUCCCAGGAAAAUGACUUCUUUUCUGCCUGAAAGCUGAAUGCAAGUCAGGCUUGUAGUACUGCUGUGUCUUGGAGAUCCCAAAGCAGAAGCUCCUUGUGGAACAAUUUUGUUCUUGAGUAAUAUAAAAUUGCAAAAGCUGCUAAUGUGGCAGAAAGAGAAGAAGCUGGAACAAGAAUCUAGUGUCUGGAUACACCCUGAAGAUAAUCCCAUUUCUCAAAGAGUAUGAAGAUCAACACAAAGACAGCGUGACCAGGAGUGCUCAGGGUCCCAACUUUCUCCAAGGCGGCAGAGAGUCCUGCUCAUCCAGUCCUUUGGGGGACUGAUAAAACCAGUCCUGAAGCUGUGCCCUCUGUUUGGUUGAUGUUUUUGGGAAGGAAGAAGUGAUGACUACAGUGAACUGAUGAAACCUGACAGGAGCAGAUAUGGUAUGGACAGGAGAGGCAACCUGGAUGGUGACAUGUAGCAGGGGUGGAGACCUACAGGGCUCAACCCAGCCUUUGAAUGAGAGUAGUGGUGUGUGGUUACUGUUGUUGUCUGGGUUUGGCCAGGAUAACAGAAAGUCUAUUUGGUCUUGAUAGAGUGAAAGACAAAUAUUUGAAAGAUAAUAUUUGACCGAGAAAGACAAAUAGGGUGUGGAUGAUGAGUUACGUAUGAAAGAAGAUAGGAAAUUUCUGGAAGUCAUGCAGGACAGGUGGGUAGGCCAAGGAGAGUGAACAAAAAAGCAGUCAAGAGCUGACAGAAUGGAGAGGAUAAAAAAGUAGAAGGGAAGAGUGCAAGUGGAAGCCCUUAUAGGUAAGGGAAUAUGAAAAUGCAGGAGUUUCCAGUGUUUUUAAUGAC